GACGAACGCUGGCGGCGUGCUUAACACAUGCAAGUCGAACGGAAAGGCCCUGCUUUUGUGGGGUGCUCGAGUGGCGAACGGGUGAGUAACACGUGAGUAACCUGCCCUUGACUUUGGGAUAACUUCAGGAAACUGGGGCUAAUACCGGAUAGGAGCUCCUGCUGCAUGGUGGGGGUUGGAAAGUUUCGGCGGUUGGGGAUGGACUCGCGGCUUAUCAGCUUGUUGGUGGGGUAGUGGCUUACCAAGGCUUUGACGGGUAGCCGGCCUGAGAGGGUGACCGGCCACAUUGUGACUGAGAUACGGCCCAGACUCCUACGGGAGGCAGCAGUGGGGAAUAUUGCACAAUGGGCGGAAGCCUGAUGCAGCAACGCCGCGUGCGGGAUGACGGCCUUCGGGUUGUAAACCGCUUUCGCCUGUGACGAAGCGUGAGUGACGGUAAUGAGUAAAGAAGCACCGGCUAACUACGUG
rnacentral:rRNA from 1 species